AUUAACUUAUAUUUACAUAUUUUCUGUUUACUUAUAUUUGUAAACUGAGAUUCUUUUUUUUUUAUAUAGAUCUGUCUUUUCUGAUAUUAAGCAUAUCUUUCUCAUAAUGUGCAUAAUUAGUGUCUUUUUACAAUAUUCUAUUAUUCUAUAAUCUUGAAUUAUAUGCAGGAAUUUAUCAUUAAGUGUCGUUUUUUUGACAUUUUACGAGAUUCAUAAUCUCCAUUUCAAAAAAUAAUAUUGAAUUAUGACCUUUAUUAUGACUGUCUAUAAAAACUUUAAACAAAAAGAAAGCAGUAAAGCUAAAAUCAAACAUCAUUAUUCAAAAAAUUUAGUUGUAUCAAAGUCGAGCUUGUAGUAGUUUAAAAUGAGCAAAUCAGACGUAAAUAUUUAAAUUUAUCUAUAUAUCAUAUGUUAUGGUGACGAAACACAAAAAGAAAGUGAUUUUCAUAUAUUUUUUUUUAAUUUUGAUUUAGUUAUGUUAUUUAUAUAAAAAUUUAAUGAAUAAUUCUUGAUUAAAAUAAGUCAAAUAGAAACAUUCUAUUUUUAGAUUAGUUGUUUUCAGUCAGUCAUCUGGGUAUGUUUAAUUGUGAUUCAACUUUUUUUCUAGUCCUUCAACGUGUGUCUCAAAACCUGUGAAAGUAAAACUUGCCAGAAAUUAUUUUUUUUCUUUAGUUUUUAUACUGGGUUUUGUGUAGUUUUUAUGUAAAUGUUGAAAAAAAUUUACAAAAAAUAACAUAAAAUCUUAAAUUAUAGACUUUCAAAAAAAAUUUCUCGUCUAUUUUUCAAUAUAUUUUAUAUUCAUUGUCUGACUGAUCAAAGUAUUAAUAAUCAAUAUAUCGAAUCAAAAUGUGUAGUGUGCACAUAAAAAUGGCUUUUACAAGUAGAAAUUUAUCUAUAUAUCAUAUGUUAUGGUGACGAAACACGAAAAGAAAGUGAUUUUCAAAUUAUUUUUUUUUAAUUUUGAUUAAUUGAUCUUACUGCAUAAGAAUAUUUUUGAUUUCUUAUUAGUGCAAUGUCAAUUUACACAUUUGUUUUUAACAAUUGCCAAAAUAUUUUUUUAAAUAUUUGUAUUGAAAUAUUGAUUUAUUUCUGACAAGGCAAAGAUUUAAAAAAUUGCCAUUUUAACUCAUUUCAAAAUAUUAUGCAGAUAUCAUCAAAACUCAAAAUUGUAAAUUAUUAUGUGAUUUGUAUGUCUGUGAUGUUGUGUGUUUAUUAUAUAUUUUAUAUAUCUGAGUGCAAGAAAAUGAAUGGUGCAAUUGUUUUGUUAAAUUUUUUAGAUAUUGAUAAAAUGUAAAUAUGUAAAUACUGAUUAUAAUGUAAUUAUGUGUAUAUACGAAAACCUUUCCAGAUGUGCCAUGAUUUUGUAUAUAAAAAAUAUUGUACAAAAUCAUACCAUAUAAACCCCUAUGUAGGUAAUUAGGUUGUGAUUGUUUAAGAUUUAUUAAAUUUGGUAACAUUUAAAGAAACCAGAUUAAUUGGGUAGUGGAUUAGGCAUUCCCUUUUCUUGAUUUAUUAAAAUCAGUUUGAAAUGCAAAUUAAAUCUUGGUAAACUGUGAAUUCUCAUUUAGCCGAGAUGUGAAAAUUUUGGAGGGUAAAUGUUUCAACAGAUUCACUGAAUUUCAGCAGAAAUAUAAUGAAAUAUUUAUUAUGCCAAUUUAUAAUUCCAGUCGUCAGCAUUCCAAACAAAAUAUGUCUAAAAUGAAGAAACUUUCUUCAAAAAGGGGAGGGGAAGAAUGAUGAUCUUAAAUCUAUUCAAGGUUGACCUUUUGAACUACAAUGAAUCUUACGUCUUUGUUGAUUGUUAUAAAUUGUUUCACAUUCCACAUUGUUUUUAUAUGAUGUACAAAUGUUUUAAUACAUAUCAAAUUUUACUUUGUACAAUGCAUUUUAUAUACUAUUUUAAGAAUAAAAUUAUUUUUCUAUUCAGUGAUUUUUAUGCCUGCAUAAAUUACUGAGGAGGAAAAAUUUAUA
rnacentral:lncRNA from 1 species